rnacentral:rRNA from 1 species
GAUCCCUGGUUGAUCCUGCCAGUAGUCAUAUGCUUGUCUCAAAGAUUAAGCCAUGCAUGUGUCAGUCCAAGCCAAGUUAAGGUGAAACCGCGAAUGGCUCAUUAAAUCAGUUAUGGUUCCUUUGAUGGCUUAAAUUUUUUACUUGGAUAACUGUGGUAAUUCUAGAGCUAAUACAUGCAACUGAGUCCCGACCGGAGACGGGAGGGACGCACUUAUUAGAUCAAAACCAAUCGGGCGCUCGCGUCCGUUGGCCUUGGUGACUCUGAAUAAGUUGUGGCUGAUCGCACGGUCUCGCACCGGCGACGCAUCUUUCAAAUGUCUGCCUUAUCAACUGUCGAUGGUAGGUUCUGCGCCUACCAUGGUGGUAACGGGUAACGGGGAAUCAGGGUUCGAUUCCGGAGAGGGAGCCUGAGAAACGGCUACCACAUCCAAGGAAGGCAGCAGGCGCGCAAAUUACCCACUCCCGGCACGGGGAGGUAGUGACGAUAAAUAACGAUACGGGACUCAUCCGAGGCCCCGUAAUCGGAAUGAGAACACUUUAAAUCCUUCCACGAUUAACCAUCGGAGGGCAAGUCUGGUGCCAGCAGCCGCGGUAAUUCCAGCUCCGAUAGCGUAUAUUAAAGUUGUUGCGGUUAAAAAGCUCGUAGUCGGACUUGUGUCCCGCUCUGCCGGUUCACCGCCCGUCGGUGUUCAACUGGCAUGUAUGCGGUACGUCCUGCCGGUGGCCCAAAGCGUUAGCGGUAAGCUCGGCGCUCAGCUCCGCCUCGUGCGGGGUGGCGUGUUGUGCUCCGCUUUCGUGGAGGGCCUGCUCAUACCCGUCGCGGGUGCUCUUAACCGAGUGUCUCGAUGGGCCGGCACGUUUACUUUGAACAAAUUAGAGUGCUUAAAGCAGGCAGCUACCGCCUGAAUAUCGAGUGCAUGGAAUAAUGGAAUAGGACCUCGGUUCUAUUUUGUUGGUUUUCGGAAUCCCCGAGGUAAUGAUCAAUAGGGACAGACGGGGGCAUUCGUAUUGCGACGUUAGAGGUGAAAUUCUUGGAUCGUCGCAAGACGGACUGAAGCGAAAGCAUUUGCCAAGAAUGUUUUCUCUGAUCAAGAACGAAAGCCAGAGGUUCGAAGGCGAUCAGAUACCGCCCUAGUUCUGACCAUAAACGAUGCCAGCCAGCAAUCCGUCGAAGUUCCUCCGAUGACUCGACGGGCGGCUUCCGGGAAACCAAAGCUAUUGGGUUCCGGGGGAAGUAUGGUUGCAAAGCUGAAACUUAAAGGAAUUGACGGAAGGGCACUACCAGAAGUGGAGCCUGCGGCUUAAUUUGACUCAACACGGGUAACCUCAUCAGGUCCGGACUCCGGGAGGAUUGACAGAUUGAGAGCUCUUUCUUGAUUCGGAGGGUGGUGGUGCAUGGCCGUUCUUAGUUGGUGGACUGAUCUGUCUGCUUGAUUGCGAUAACGAACGAGACUCUAGCCUGCUAACUAGUCGUACCGGGAUCCUUAGCGCUCCCGGCGAUUUACGAUCUUCUUAGAGGGACGGGCGGCGUCUAGCCGCAUGAGACAGAGCAAUAACAGGUCUGUGAUGCCCUUAGAUGUCCUGGGCCGCACGCGCGCUACACUGAAGGAAUCAGCGUGUAUUCCCUGUCCGAGAGGACCGGGUAACCCGUUGAACCUCCUUCGUGCUAGGGAUUGGGGCUUGCAAUUAUUCCCCAUGAACGAGGAAUGUCUAGUAGGCGCGAGUCAUCAGCUCGCGCCGAUUACGUCCCUGCCCUUUGUCCACACCGCCCGUCGCUACUACCGAUUGAAUGAUUUAGUGAGGCCUUCGGACCGCGGGGCGAAGGGUCUGUACCCUUCGAUUCUGCGGGAAGAUGUCCGAACUUGAUUAUUUAGAGGAAGUAAAAGUCGUAACAAGGUUUCCGUAGGUGAACCUGCGGAAGGAUCAUUA